rnacentral:lncRNA from 1 species
AAAGAGCUAUACAAGCUCAGAGACAACAGCAGUCUAGCUAUUAGUGUCCAAAUGUUAGAUGUAAGCAUCCCUGGACCAAAGAGUUGUCAAGGUAAUAACGAGGCAGCCGUAUCCAUUACUUAACUUCCACAUCUCACCAGCACGUCACAUGUAUAAUCCAGGGCUGUCUACCUAGGAUCACCGGUGUGUUGAACUAAAGAAUCUGAAAAGCCUGAGACUGUGUUUGCUAGGGUUGGUAUUUAAGCCUGUCUGAAUAUGCCACUUUCUAGCCA